rnacentral:rRNA from 1 species
CCUACGGGUGGCAGCAGUGAGGAAUAUUGGUCAAUGGGCGCGAGCCUGAACCAGCCAAGUAGCGUGAAGGAUGACUGCCCUACGGGUUGUAAACUUCUUUUAUAAAGGAAUAAAGUGAGGCACGUGUGCCUUUUUGUAUGUACUUUAUGAAUAAGGAUCGGCUAACUCCGUGGCAGCAGCCGCGGUAAAACGGAGGAUCCGAGCGUUAUCCGGAUUUAUUGGGUUUAAAGGGAGCGUAGGUGGGUUUUUAAGUCAGUUGUGAAAGUUUGGGGCUCAACCGUAAAAUUGCAAUUGAUACUGGCAGUCUUGAGUACAGUUGAGGUAGGCGGAAUUCGUGGUGUAGCGGUGAAAUGCGUAGAUAUCACGAAGAACUCCGAUUGCGAAGGCAGCUUACUAGACUGCCACUGACAUUGAUGCACGAAAGUGUGGGUAGCAAACAGGAUUAGAUACCCUAGUAGUC